rnacentral:rRNA from 1 species
UAAGACGAACCGUGCGAACGUUAUUCGGAAUCACUGGGCUUAAAGCGCGUGUAGGCGGGCCGGCACGUCGGCUGCUGAAAUCCCCCGGCUCAACCGGGGAAGGGGCACCGAUACGACCGGCCUGGAGGGGGGUAGGGGGGACGGGAACUUCCGGUGGAGCGGUGAAAUGCGUUGAGAUCGGAAGGAACGCCCGCGGCGAAAGCGCGUCCCUGGACCCCACCUGACGCUGAGACGCGAAAGCCAGGGGAGCGAACGGGAUUAGAUACCCCGGUAGUCCUGGCCGUAAACCAUGAGCACUGGGUAGGGGGCUCGCCGAUGGGCUCCCUGCCGCAGCGAAAGCGUGAAGUGCUCCGCCUGGGGAGUAUGGUCGCAAGGCUG